rnacentral:rRNA from 1 species
AUUGAACGCUGGCGGCAUGAUUUACACAUGCAAGUCGAACGGUAACAGGCCGCAAGGUGCUGACGAGUGGCGUACGGGUGAGUAAUGCAUCGGAACGUGCCCAGUCGUGGGGGAUAACUACUCGAAAGAGUAGCUAAUACCGCAUACGAUCUAUGGAUGAAAGCGGGGGACCGUAAGGCCUCGCGCGCUUGGAGCGGCCGAUGUCAGAUUAGGUAGUUGGUGGGGUAAAGGCUCACCAAGCCAACGAUCUGUAGCUGGUCUGAGAGGACGACCAGCCACACUGGGACUGAGACACGGCCCAGACUCCUACGGGAGGCAGCAGUGGGGAAUUUUGGACAAUGGGCGCAAGCCUGAUCCAGCAAUGCCGCGUGCAGGAAGAAGGCCUUCGGGUUGUAAACUGCUUUUGUACGGAACGAAACGGCUCUGGUUAAUACCCGGGGCUAAUGACGGUACCGUAAGAAUAAGCACCGGCUAACUACGUG